rnacentral:rRNA from 1 species
CCUACGGGUGGCAGCAGUGGGGAAUAUUGGGCAAUGGGCGCAAGCCUGACCCAGCAACGCCGCGUGAAGGAAGAAGGCUUUCGGGUUGUAAACUUCUUUUGUCAGGGAAGAGUAGAAGACGGUACCUGACGAAUAAGCCACGGCUAACUACGUGCCAGCAGCCGCGGUAAUACGUAGGUGGCAAGCGUUGUCCGGAUUUACUGGGUGUAAAGGGCGUGUAGCCGGGUUGACAAGUCAGAUGUGAAAUCCUGCGGCUUAACCGAAGAACUGCAUUUGAAACUGUUGAUCUGGAGUACUGGAGAGGCAGGCGGAAUUCCUGGGGUAGCGGUGAAAGGCGUAGAUAUUAGGAGGAACACCAGUGGCGAAGGCGGUCUGCUGGACAGCAACUGACGGUGAGGCGCGAAAGCGUGGGGAGCAAACAGGAUUAGACCCCCCAGUAGUC